UGGGCAAUCUGCCCUAAAGACUGGGAUACCACUUGGAAACAGGUGCUAAUACCGGAUAACAACAUGAAUCGCAUGAUUCAAGUUUGAAAGGCGGCGUAAGCUGUCACUUUAGGAUGAGCCCGCGGCGCAUUAGCUAGUUGGUGGGGUAAAGGCCUACCAAGGCAAUGAUGCGUAGCCGAGUUGAGAGACUGAUCGGCCACAUUGGGACUGAGACACGGCCCAAACUCCUACGGGAGGCAGCAGUC
rnacentral:rRNA from 1 species